rnacentral:rRNA from 1 species
CGAGUGGCGGACGGGUGAGUAAUGCUUGGGAAUCUGGCUUAUGGAGGGGGAUAACGACGGGAAACUGUCGCUAAUACCGCGUAGUGUCGAGAGACGAAAGUGCGGGACCGUAAGGCCGCAUGCCAUAGGAUGAGCCCAAGUGGGAUUAGGUAGUUGGUGGGGUAAAGGCCUACCAAGCCGACGAUCUCUAGCUGGUCUGAGAGGAUGACCAGCCACACCGGGACUGAGACACGGCCCGGACUCCUACGGGAGGCAGCAGUGGGGAAUAUUGCGCAAUGGGGGCAACCCUGACGCAGCCAUGCCGCGUGAAUGAAGAAGGCCUUCGGGUUGUAAAGUUCUUUCGGUGACGAGGAAGGUUGUUGUGUUAAUAGCGCAACAAAUUGACGUUAAUCACAGAAGAAGCACCGGCUAACUCCGUGCCAGCAGCCGCGGUAAUACGGAGGGUGCGAGCGUUAAUCGGAAUAACUGGGCGUAAAGGGCACGCAGGCGGCUAUUUAAGUGAGGUGUGAAAUCCCCGGGCUUAACCUGGGAAUUGCAUUUCAGACUGGGUAGCUAGAGUACUUUAGGGAGGGGUAGAAUUCCACGUGUAGCGGUGAAAUGCGUAGAGAUGUGGAGGAAUACCGAAGGCGAAGGCAGCCCCUUGGGAAUGUACUGACGCUCAUGUGCGAAAGCGUGGGGAGCAAACAGGAUUAGAUACCCUGGUAGUCCACGCUGUAAACGCUGUCGAUUUGGGGAUUGGGCUUUAAGCUUGGUGCCCGUAGCUAACGUGAUAAAUCGACCGCCUGGGGAGUACGGCCGCAAGGUUAAAACUCAAAUGAAUUGACGGGGGCCCGCACAAGCGGUGGAGCAUGUGGUUUAAUUCGAUGCAACGCGAAGAACCUUACCUACUCUUGACAUCCAUGGAAUCCUGUAGAGAUACGGGAGUGCCUUCGGGAACCAUGAGACAGGUGCUGCAUGGCUGUCGUCAGCUCGUGUUGUGAAAUGUUGGGUUAAGUCCCGCAACGAGCGCAACCCUUAUCCUUUGUUGCCAGCGAUUCGGUCGGGAACUCAAAGGAGACUGCCGGUGA